rnacentral:rRNA from 1 species
UACGUAGGGUGCAAGCGUUGUCCGGAAUUAUUGGGCGUAAAGAGCUCGUAGGCGGUCUGUUGCGUCGGCUGUGAAAACCCGAGGCUCAACCUCGGGCCUGCAGCCGAUACGGGCAGACUAGAGUUCGGCAGGGGAGACUGGAAUUCCUGGUGUAGCGGUGAAAUGCGCAGAUAUCAGAAGGAACACCGGUGGCGAAGGCGGGUCUCUGGGCCGAUACUGACGCUGAGGAGCGAAAGCGUGGGGAGCGAACAGG